AUUGAACGCUGGCGGCAGGCCUAACACCUGCAAGUCGAGCGGAGCGGCGGACGGGUGAGUAAUGCCUAGGACUCUGCCUGGUAGUGGGGGAUAACGUCCGGAAACGGGCGCUAAUGCCGCAUACUAUCAGAUGAGCCUAGGCCGGAUUAGCUAGUUGGGGGGGUAAAGGCCUACCAAGGCGACGCUCCGUAACUGGGCUGAGAGGAUGAUCAGUCACACUGGAACUGAGACACGGUCCGGACUCCUGCGGUAGGCAGCAGUGGGGAAUAUUGGGCAAUGGGCGAGAGCCUGAUCCAGCCAUGCCGCGGGUGUGAAGAAGGUCUUCGGAUUGUAAAGCACUUUAAGUUGGGAGGCGUUACCAACAGAAUAAGCACCGGCUAACUUCGUGCCAGCAGCCGCGGUAAUUC
rnacentral:rRNA from 1 species